CAACGAAGUUUGUUCUGGGCAUACGCUUUGGUGUGCAUGCGUACUUCUUCAGGUACACCUAAACAGUGUAUCUGAAGAAGUGUGCAUGCACAUGAAAACUUAUACCCAGAACAAACUUAGUUGG
rnacentral:miRNA from 1 species